UCCGCGGCCUAUCAGCUUGUUGGCGGGGUAAUGGCCCACCAAGGCGACGACGGGUAGCUGGUCUGAGAGGAUGGCCAGCCACAUUGGGACUGAGAGACGGCCCAGACUCCUACGGGAGGCAGCAGUGGGGAAUCUUGCGCAAUGGCCGAAAGGCUGACGCAGCGACGCCGCGUGUGGGAGGACGCCUUUCGGGGUGUAAACCACUGUUGCCCGGGACGAAUAUCCUGUUGGGACAGGAUUGACGGUACCGGGUGAGGAAGCACCGGCUAACUCCGUGCCAGCAGCCGCGGUAAUACGGAGGGUGCGAGCGUUGUCCGGAAUCAUUGGGCGUAAAGGGCGCGUAGGUGGCGGGACAAGCGUGCGGUGAAAGCUCGGGGCUCAACCCCGCGUCGGCCGUGCG
rnacentral:rRNA from 1 species